rnacentral:rRNA from 1 species
AACGAACGCUGGCGGCAUGCCUAACACAUGCAAGUCGAACGAGACCUUCGGGUCUAGUGGCGCACGGGUGCGUAACGCGUGGGAAUCUGCCCUUGGGUUCGGAAUAACUCGCCGAAAGGCGUGCUAAUACCGGAUGAUGUCGUAAGACCAAAGACUUAUCGCCCAGGGAUGAGCCCGCGUAAGAUUAGGUAGUUGGUGAGGUAACGGCUCACCAAGGCGACGAUGCGUAGCCGACCUGAGAGGGUGACCGGCCACACUGGGACUGAGACACGGCCCAG